GUUCCAGGUGGGGUCCAGUCUGGAUCAGGAAGUGCUUGGGACCAGCUGCAGUGUGGAUGGGCCUGCCCUUGGAGAAGGCUGAGGACAUUGUUUGGGACCAGCUUUUCUUCCAGCAGGGGAGGGCAUGAGCCGGGCUCUGCGGGUGCUGACUGCAUGACUGAUAAAAUUACAUCAUCCCAUUGGGAGAAGCUCCACCCAGGGGAUGGAGCCUAGCAUUCCUUCCUGGAUGUAAUCUGACAGUUGGAACACGACAGCACUUUUCCCACUGGAUUCCCAGAGGAAGACCAGACCAAUCGACACCACCACUGGAUCUUCAAAGGAAAACUCCACCCUUCUACAGGAUCACUGCUUUAACAGAACCUCACCUGUCUCUCCAGGAGAACUGCAGCCACCAUUUAAUGGGAUUACUACCAACACCCUUACACAUAGGGAGUCAGACCAUAUUCUGACUCUGCCAGUGUUGUUUUGUAUUACUGCAUUGUUUUUUUGGGGUUUUUUUUCCUUCCUACUAAAGAAGUUAUUCCUUGUCCCAUAUCUUUGCCUUAGAGCCCCUUAAUUUCAAACUUAUAACAAUUCAGAGGGAGGGGGUUCACAUUUUCCAUUUCAGGGGAGGCUCCUGCCUUCCUUAGCAGACACCUGUCUUUUCAAACCCAGACAAACAUAAAUAUCCUUGUUGGCAGUGUUUGAUUGGCCAAUAAAUCCUUAAAAAGGUCUUGUAA